GUCCACGCCGUAAACGAUGUGUGUUUGUCGCUGGGGAGUUUACUCUUCGGUGACGGAGCUAACGCGUUAAGCACACCGCCUGGGAAGUACGGUCGCAAGAUUAAAACUCAAAGGAAUUGACGGGGACCCGCACAAGCGGUGGAGUAUGUGGUUUAAUUCGUCGCAACGCGAAGAACCUUACCAGGCCUUGACAUGCCCUCUAUGGGUCCCAGAGACGGGACUCUUCACUUCGGGUGGGAGGGACACAGGUGCUGCAUGGCUGUCGU
rnacentral:rRNA from 1 species